GCGUUGUUCGGAAUUAUUGGGCGUAAAGGGUGCGUAGGCGGUCUGACAAGUGUGAUGUGAAAUCUAUGGGCUCAACCCAUAGUCUGCAUCGGAAACUGUCGGGCUGGAGUAUGGGAGAGGUGAGUGGAAUUUCCGGUGUAGCGGUGAAAUGCGUAGAUAUCGGAAGGAACACCGGUGGCGAAAGCGGCUCACUGGACCAUUACUGACGCUGAUGCACGAAAGCUAGGGGAGCAAACAGG
rnacentral:rRNA from 1 species